rnacentral:rRNA from 1 species
AAUGAACGCUAGCGGCAGGCCUAACACAUGCAAGUCGAGGGGUAACUAGAGUGAUAGCAAUAUUACUUUGGCUAGACCGGCGCACGGGUGCGUAACACGUAUGCAACCUACCUUAUACUGGGGAAUAACUUCGAGAAAUCGGCGCUAAUACCCCAUAACAUUGCGAAGAGGCAUCUCUUUGCAAUUAAAGCUCCGGCGGUAUAAGAUGGGCAUGCGUCCAAUUAGCUAGUUGGUGAGGUAACGGCUCACCAAGGCUACGAUUGGUAGGGGUUCUGGGAGGAUGAUCCCCCACACUGGUACUGAGACACGGACCAGACUCCUACGGGAGGCAGCAGUGAGGAAUAUUGCGCAAUGGACGAAAGUCUGACGCAGCCAUGCCGCGUGCAGGAUGACGGCCCUAUGGGUUGUAAACUGCUUUUGUACGGGAAUAAACCCUUCUACGUGUAGGAGGCUGAAGGUACCGUAAGAAUAAGCACCGGCUAACUCCGUGCCAGCAGCCGCCGCAGUAA